rnacentral:rRNA from 1 species
CAAUAGCGUAUAUUAAAGUUGUUGCAGUUAAAAAGCUCGUAGCUGGAUUUCUGGUCGGAAGCUCCAGUCCUCUGAUGAGCGUACAAGUGCGUCCUACCAUCCUUCUGUUAACCUUUAAGGCUUUCGCGGCUUUCUAGGGGCUCAGAUAUUUUACCUUGAGAAAAUUAGAGUGUUUCAGGCAGGCUAGCGCCGGAAUACAUUAGCAUGGAAUAAUGGAAUAGGACUUUUGCCUCUUCUGUUGGUCAUGAGGCUCGAGUAAUGAUUAAUAGGGAUAGUUGGGGGCAUUAGUACUUAACUGUCAGAGGUGAAAUUCUCGGAUUUGUUAAAGACUAACUUAUGCGAAAGCAUUUGCCAAGGAUGUUUUCAUUA